ensembl:lncRNA
GCUCACUGCCGCGUGCAUGCCAAUUAGGCCCUAAUCUGAUUUCUGUUCUAUCUCUGCGAACCCCAUUAAAACCCAAUUCUGCUUAUUAACAACAGCUUUCUCGCUUCGCAGUGCCUCGCCCUCCCAGGGUUGCUCCGGCGCUGUGAGGAUCGGGGCUCCGCGCGCCGGGCCGCAGGGGACCCCCUUCUCCGGGGCCGCCGCGCCCGCCCCUCCGCCCCCGGAUGCGCCACCUCCCCACCUCUAGAGCCCCACCUCCCCGCGUUGCCCAGGCCGGGGUCGGGACCCAGGCCCGGCGCCCCCAACGAGUCACGGGACCCCUUCUUCGGGAACAAUGGGAUCGUAGAAAGCUGGAACUGGGCGUUGUUGGGAACUCGGAGGUCAUCAAGCCCCGCCUCCCACGCCCUGCAGGAAUUCCCUAGACGCUGGGCGAUCCUCAGGCUGUUCCCGGUACGGGGAGCUCACUCCCUCUCUCAAGGAAACCUGGUCGGCUUCAAGUUCCCGGCGCCUUCGCUGUGUGACAUUAAUCAGAGCUCUGGACCUCUCCGGUCCGAAGUAGCUUCAUCUGUACCCCGGGGGCGCGAUGAUAAUGCUUGCCUCCUGAGACUGUUGAAGGAUAAGAAGACACCGGCAAAGCAUAAGAGCGCCGGAGUGAGGCAGCUGUAAGGAGCAGCACUACGGAUCCAUCUAGGCGGCACACCUUUUAAGAACAAGGAGCCUCACCUCAACUUGCCAUGGCAUGGGCCAUGGACCCUUGGAGCAGCUUGGUGAAGGUCAGGGACCCCUGUUCAGGAUCAAGCUUUUCAAUCCAUAAAAUAAUGCAUUUAGGAUUGCAAAGGAAACCAAUUAUACCGUAAUACAGAUAUCAAAGGGCUUCCCUGGUGGCUCAGAGGGUAAAGCGUCUGCCUACAAUGCAGGAGACCUGGGUUCAAUCCCUGGGUCAGGAAGAUACCCUGGAGAAGGAAAUGGCAACCCACCCCAGUACUCUUGCCUGGAAAAUCCCAUGGACAGAGAAGCCUGGUAGACUAUAGUCCAUGGGAUCGCAAAGAGUCGGACACGACUGAGCGACUUCACUUCACUUCACUUCACAGAUAUCAAAAUAUGAAGAUCCACAUUUGUGAAAUAGUACUUUAUGAGCUUCUUUAUUAUGUAUUAAGUAUCAAGAUCUAGCCGCUGGUCAAUCUACUACUGAGAUUUUUGUGAGGCGCAGAAACAAUAUUUUGAUAUCUCUACCACAACUGCUAACGAUAGUCUCUGUAAUUUGCACGUGUGCUGUGGUCACAGGAACUGCCGAUGCUACAGUCGUUUCUCACCUGCAUUCCUCAUGCAAGAAAAUGCUGCCUUUCUACUAGAAGUUAGUGAGAGUAAAGACGUUAUUUUUUUUCACCAGGUAAAUUCAUGGAUCCCUGAAUUCUACCUUUGCACCUGCAAGGGUGCAGGUGGCUGAGGAUGCCAGGUUUGGGGCCCUGUUAAUCUAGUGGUAUUUCCACACUCUGUGCUACUUUGCAGUCAGCCAGGACUGCUGAGAGCCUCAGCAACCCUGCUGAGAAGACGCCACUGGCCAGGGGUUGCUGUCCUGUCUCGUUUUGUGAUUGAGUGCAUGCUUCUUCAGCUUUUCCGCAUCAUCCGAGAGGGUACGGUGAUGGUGAUGGCAUGUGGCAAUGAAGCAGUAAAUAAAGGCAGGAGAGAAGAGUGGUCAGGAGCACGGUUGAGGUGAUGGGGCGGGGGCUGGCACAGGGGAUCAGAUUCACAAUCAGAUGAUCCCCUGCCCUCCACUCAUCAGCUGUGUGUCCUCAGGCAGGUCAAUAAGCAAUCAAGACUCGGCUCUCUCAUCUGUGCAAUGGGCUGAAGCAUACACCCUCAUGGGCUGGCUCUGAGGACCCAGUGAGACAAGGGAUGGAAAGUUCUGGAACAAUGCUGGUGCAUGGGGAACACUCAGUAAAACACAACGGUCUGAGAGCCACCUUGCCCUUUCACUGUUUACCGAGUGCCUCUCUCCAAAAAGGAGAUUGCAACGGGAUAGCUUUUGAAUCAGAGUGUUCCAGUCUCCUGCUUAUUGCUGUCACCCAGAAUUCCACUCUAGGAAGUGGCUAUUCACAGCUGGGAGGGGCUGGUGCCUCUGGGGAGCCUCAGAAAGUUUCUCUCUUCUUCCUGGCCCAGUCCAAGCUGAUGAGUUUGGGGAGCUGAUGAGUUUAACCAUUGGUUCCAUGGCUUUUCUUUUCUUUUUGCUUCCUGCCGCCCCCAUGGGUUUUUUUUUUUUUUUUUUUUUUUGUCCACCAAAGCUGAGUUGCUGAGUGAAUCGUUAAGGGAGUGAAUUCCAAGAGCGUGAGCUUCUCUUGUUUCCCAGGACAGGUUUGGGCCAAGACAAACCUUGGUGAUGCCAACAGCAGUUGCUUAAACAGUGGAGCUCAGAGCUGGCUUCCCGGCCUGGCUUGCGGGGCUCUGUUUGAACUUUCUCCUCUCUCCUUCCACCCAGUGAUUAAAGGAACCACAUGGAACUUUCUCCUUAUGCCUCUUCCCCUUCCUUCCCCGUGUGCCCCCUUGGAAAGGCUCCGCAAAGUCCCAGUUUCUCAAAGAGCCCAGAGCUGUGGCCUCUUGAUUUAUGUUCACUUGGCAACGCGAGGUUGCAGCGGCCUGAGAAGCCUGAAUAACUGGAAAAGGGAAAUGGAGGAGGGUGGGGCUGAUGGGAGGGUCUGAUUGUGGCUUGAACUUGGCCCUCCCCACAUCAGCACAGAGCCAAGGACUCUGGGACCAGUGGCCAAAAGAAAAUCAAACCAAGUGGCUGGAGUGUGAAAAAGAAGUUAAAGUUGUUCAAAGAAAUGAACAGUAUCUGUCCUUUCUGGAUGCUUGGUGACUCUUUGGGUUUUCUCCUUCAAUAGAUGCCUCCCCCUGGCCAUUUUGGAUUUAAUGUGUAAACACAAGGAAAUAGGGAAAUCUUAAUCCCCGGCCCAUUAGAGGGGCUCCACAAAUGUUAUCUAAAUUAAGUGCUCUUAUAAAAGAAAUGAAAGUCGA